CCUACGGGUUGCAGCAGUGGGGAAUAUUGCACAAUGGGCGCAAGCCUGAUGCAGCCAUGCCGCGUGUACGAAGAAGGCCUUCGGGUUGUAAAGUACUUUCAGCGAGGAGGAAGGUGUUGUGGUUAAUAACCGCAGCAAUUGACGUUACCCGCAGAAGAAGCACCGGCUAACUCCGUGCCAGCAGCCGCGGUAAUACGGAGGGUGCUAGCGUUAAUCGGAAUUACUGGGCGUAAAGCGCACGCAGGCGGUCUGUCAAGUCGGAUGUGAAAUCCCCGGGCUCAACCUGGGAACUGCAUUCGAAACUGGCAGGCUAGAGUCUUGUAGAGGGGGGUAGAAUUCCAGGUGUAGCGGUGAAAUGCGUAGAGAUCUGGAGGAAUACCGGUGGCAAAGGCGGCCCCCUGGACAAAGACUGACGCUCAGGUGCGAAAGCGUGGGGAGCAAACAGGAUUAGAUACCCGGGUAGUC
rnacentral:rRNA from 1 species